rnacentral:rRNA from 1 species
UACGGGGGGAGCAAGCGUCGUCCGGAUUUACUGGGCGUAAAACGCUUGUAGGUGGCCACGCCAAGUCGGAUGUGAAAUCUCCCGGCUUAACUGGGAGGGGUCAUUCGAUACUGGCGGGCUCGAGGCAGGUAGGGGGAAGCGGAAUUCCCGGUGUAGUGGUGGAAUGCGUAGAUAUCGGGAGGAACACCAGUGGCGAAGGCGGCUUCCUGGACCUGUUCUGACACUGAGGAGCGAAAGCGUGGGGAGCGAUCCGG